CCAGUGUUGAUCAGUGGCUGUCCAGGCCUUUCAGAGCCACUGACACGCCGGCAGCACAAUGAUGAUGUCUCUGACUCUACUGCUGGCCACCCUGGGGCUCCUUGUUCAGGGUUCAUCAGGAGAAAUCAUCCUGACUCAGUCUCCUGGAUCUCAGUCUGUUGUUCCAGGACAGACUGUCUCUAUCAGAUGUAAAGCCAGUUCGGAUGUUAGUAGCUGGCUCAACUGGUACCUUCAGAAACCUGGAGAAACUCCUAAACUCCUGAUUUAUAAAGAUACAAACCGUGAAUCUGGAGUUCCAGAUCGUUUUAGUGGAAGUGGAUCAAGGACUGACUACACUCUGACCAUCAGUGGAGUUCAGGCUGAAGAUGCUGGAGUUUACUACUAUCAGCAGAGUAACAGCUUCCCGUUCACACAGUGAAAAAGUGUCGUACAAAAACCUCCCUCAGCUGCAGAGGAACUGAUCUGACUCAACGGCUGCACUGAAAGUAAAACAACAGAAGUUGUACUAAAAGAUGAAGUUAAUACUGAUCCACUUUAAAUAUUUUAACACUAAAUGUACUGAAUUUAAUCCAGAAGGUUUAUACUGUCAAUCCUUUCAUUAAAAUCCUGUUUGGAACAUUCUGCUGAACAUGAAAGUUAACCUCAGCUGAGGUUUGGUAAUGUGAAAACAGAAAGAGUGAAUAUUCUUUUCUCAGACCAUUUUCAUAU